UACGAAGGGGGCAAGCGUUGUUCGGAAUUACUGGGCGUAAAGGGCGCGUAGGCGGCUUGCUAAGUCAGGCGUGAAAUUCCCGGGCUCAACCUGGGGGCUGCGCUUGAUACUGGUGAGCUUGAAUGCGGGAGAGGAUAGUGGAAUUCCCAGUGUAGAGGUGAAAUUCGUAGAUAUUGGGAAGAACACCGGUGGCGAAGGCGGCUAUCUGGCCCGUAAUUGACGCUGAGGCGCGAAAGCGUGGGGAGCAAACAGG
rnacentral:rRNA from 1 species